rnacentral:tRNA from 1 species
GGGCGCAUAGCUCAGCGGUAGAGCGCUUCCCUUACAAGGAAGAUGUCGCAGGUUCGAUCCCUGCUGCGCCCA